rnacentral:tRNA from 1 species
GGUGGGUUGGCUCAGCGGUUAGAGCUUAGGUCUCGUAACCGAAAGGUCGCGGGAUCGAAUCCCAACAGAGGCUG